CAUAGUCGAUCUUUGAAGUUUUCUCUUAAAGGUUUAGUUGACAAAUCUCCCAAAAAGAGACAAAUCUCCCAAAAAGAGCAAGGAAUAUGGAAAGAAAUCUUCUUACAAGAAAUAUGGUAAAAAGAAGGGGUUAACUGGACCAAAUGAAGGACACCCUGAUGCUCCAUCUGGUGGAUAUAGUGCUGGUGAUGUCAAGAAUGAAGAAUUGCAGGCUUAUGGGGAAUUGGAUAGCUUUUCUUCUCCCGUUGGUAGCUUGACAGAAGGUAUAUGUUCAAUUAAUCAGGCAGGGGUCAUAAAGCACAAAUUUAUAGAUGAGGUUACUGGAAACGCGGGUAAGAGGACAGUCCAAAUGAAAGGUAGCAAGCCUCAGCGUUUGGAUGAGGAUGAUGUUGGAAUUCAAACAAGCAUGCCAAAGACCUCUAAGGGGCCAAAGCUUGUUAUACAUUUGGGCUCGCGGAAUAAAAACAUAGCAGGUUCCCCCAAGUCCGAUGCUUCAAGCUGUCAGAAAGAGCAAGAUUUGACUACUUCAAAUGGUAGUGAGGAUCUAGUUCAGCUGAGAGAGAAUGAGAACUCGGAAAGGAAUGACACUGCAGCUAAACUUGGUGGUGGAAAAGGACAUAAGGUGGAUCAUAUGGACCAAAUAAAGGGUCAAAAUCAUAGGGGUAAAGAAAGCAACUUAAUAAAGAUCAAGAAAGUUAGCUCAGAAGGUACUAAUUUCCCUGCCAAAGUUGGUGGAAAUUUUGCCGAUGGAUCUGGACCUUAUCCUCCAGUCAAGACUUUUGGUAUAAUAGGAAAAAGAAGCAAUGACGGUAGUGUUAUUACAAGGGCUGGAGCUGAAGUUCCUGCUACAAGGGACAACAAAUUGGCUUCUGUAAAACAUGCCGAAGCUGGGCCCGCUUCUUGUGAUGACCUGAAUGACGAGAAAAAUAGCACACCUUCAGUAUCAAAUUCAACGAGAAAGGAUCCAAAACCUCUCCUAAAGCUCAAGUUCAAGAAUCCUUACCAUGAAAAUCAAAAUGCCUGGGCUUCUCCAGGAGAGGAGGAUAAAAGCAUGGUUAAGGGCCAGAGGUCUAAGAGAAAGAGAGCACCAGCCUUUGGAGAAAAAGCAUCAACCAGGGCUGAUGAUAAUUCAUCACAGCGGUAUGAAGACAAUACAAUGGAUGAGUUCUUGGAUGCUAACUGGAUACUGCAGAAGUUGGGAAAAGAUGCAAAAGGAAAGCGAGUGGAAGUUCAUCAUUCGUCUGAUAAUACCUGGCAUAGAGGGACAGUCGUAGAAGUCUUUGAAGGGUCAUCGGUUGUGUCUGUUGCUCUUGAUGAUGGGAAGAAGAAGAACUUGGAACUUGGAAAGCAAGGAAUACGUUUUGUAUCUCAGAAGCAAAAACGUUGACUGCUAUUAAAAUUGGUUAUUAGAUGCAGCGUAUUGCGACUUCUGAUACCAAGAGCAUGAACAACUGCUGAUUCCUAGAGUUGUUCUUCUUUGGUGGACUCUUAAGGAAGUAACUGAUCAUUGCAGGUCGAAUUUCAAGAUUACUGCUCCCUGCAUCAUGUGUUAGCUAACCUUUGCUUACCAGAUUUACAUGUAAGGUCGUUGGUUGGUUCUGUUUUAUUGUUACCUUUUGUUUCCCAGUGUACAGAUUCUCUUUCUGGUCAGAGGUAGAACACAGUUUUUGAGCCUUUUGGUGUUACUUUAGAUUAAUCUUUGCUGGAUUUGCAGUUUUAAUGUAAAAUUUCUAGAGAUUAGAAAGUUCUGUUCCUACUGGUUGUAACUCAGGGUAGAUGAGAUUUUUAUACUUAUUGAAACACACGCAGUAUCACUCUACACUUUCAGAAAUUUGUGAUCAAAUAACUUUGUAUCAUUGUAUCGGUA